AGCUUUCUGCAGUGACAGUAUCGUAGCCAAUGAGGCUUAUCCUAGGCGUGAUUAUUGCUAAUUGAAACAUUUGGCUUUCUUUAGCAUUAUGAAGGUCUCACAGGGUUUGCAGUCACUUAAUGUCUCACACCUCUUUCGCACCAUGGAAUUACAGCACAGGGAG
rnacentral:snRNA from 1 species